GCGGGAGUGUCGAAACAGGCAGACGAGCGGGAUUUAGAUUCCCGUGCCCGGCAGGGCGUGUGGGUUCGAGUCCCACCUCCCGCA
rnacentral:tRNA from 1 species